rnacentral:rRNA from 1 species
CGCCUGGGGAGUACGGCCGCAAGGUUAAAACUCAAAUGAAUUGACGGGGGCCCGCACAAGCGGUGGAGCAUGUGGUUUAAUUCGACGCAACGCGAAGAACCUUACCUGGCCUUGACAUGCAGAGAACUUUCCAGAGAUGGAUUGGUGCCUUCGGGAACUCUGACACAGGUGCUGCAUGGCCGUCGUCAGCUCGUGUCGUGAGAUGUCGGGUUAAGUCCCGUAACGAGCGCAACCCCUAUCCCUAGUUGCUAGCAGUUCGGCUGAGAACUCUAGGGAGACUGCCGGUGACAAACCGGAGGAAGGUGGGGAUGACGUCAGGUCAUCAUGGCCCUUACGGCCAGGGCUACACACGUGCUACAAUGGUGCGCACAGAGGGCUGCAAACCCGCGAGGGGGAGCCAAUCUCACAAAACGCAUCGUAGUCCGGAUCGCAGUCUGCAACUCGACUGCGUGAAGUCGGAAUCGCUAGUAAUCGUGAAUCAGAAUGUCACGGUGAAUACGUUCCCGGGCCUUGUACACACCGCCCGUCACACCAUGGGAGUGGAUUGCACCAGAAGUGGUUAGUCUAACCUUCGGGAGGACGAUCACCACGGUGUGGUUCAUGACUGGGGUGAAGUCGUAACAAGGUAACCGUA